GCGGCUGGGCGUGCUAUAAUGCAGUCGAGCGGAUUGAUGGGAGCUUGCUCCCUGAUAUCAGCGGCGGACGGGUGAGUAACACGUGGGUAACCUGCCUGUAAGACUGGGAUAACUCCGGGAAACCGGGGCUAAUACCGGAUAACUCAUUUCCUCGCAUGAGGAAAUGUUGAAAGGUGGCUUCGGCUAUCACUUACAGAUGGACCCGCGGCGCAUUAACUAGUUGGGGAGGUAACGGCUCACCAAGGGAACGAUGCGUAGCCGAACUGGGAGGGUGAUCGGCCACCCUGGGACUGAAACACGGCCCAAACUCCUACGGGAGGGAGCAGUAGGGAAUCUUCCGCAAUGGACGAAAGUCUGACGGAACAACCCCCCGUGAGUGAUGAAGGUUUUCGGAUCGUAAAGCUCUGUUGUUAGGGAAAAACAAGUGCCGUUCCAAUAGGGCGGCACCUUGACGGUACCUAACCAGAAAGCCACGGCUAACUACCUGCCAGCAGCCGCGGUAAUACCUAAGUGGCAAGCGUUGUCCGGAAUUAUUGGGCGUAAAGCGCGCGCAGGUGGUUCCUUAAGUCUGAUGUGAAAGCCCACGGCUCAACCGUGGAAGGUCAUUGGAAACUGGGGAACUUGAGUGCAGAAGAAGAAAGUGGAAUUCCCAGUGUAGCGGUGAAAUGCGUAGAUAUUUGGAGGAACACCAGUGGCGAAAGCGACUUUCUGGUCUGUAACUGACACUGAAGCGCGAAAGCGUGGGGAGCAAAAAGAUUAGAUACCCUGGUAGUCCACGCCGUAAACGAUGAGUGCUAAGUGUUAGGGGUUUCCGCCCCUUAGUGCUGCAGCUAACGCAUUAAGCACUCCGCUGGGGAGUACGGUCGCCAGACUGAAACUCAAGAAUUGACGGGGCCGCACAAGCGUGGAGCAUGUGUUAUCGAGCACGCGAGACUACAGUCUGACAUCUCUGACACCCUAGAGAUAGGGCUUCCCUCGGGACGAUGACAGUGUGCAUGUGUCU
rnacentral:rRNA from 1 species